rnacentral:rRNA from 1 species
GAUGAACGCUGGCGGCGUGCCUAAUACAUGCAAGUCGAGCGAACGGACGAGAAGCUUGCUUCUCUGAUGUUAGCGGCGGACGGGUGAGUAACACGUGGAUAACCUACCUAUAAGACUGGGAUAACUUCGGGAAACCGGAGCUAAUACCGGAUGAUAUUUUGAACCGCAUGGUUCAAAAGUGAAAGACGGUCUUGCUGUCACUUAUAGAUGGAUCCGCGCUGCAUUAGAUAGUUGGUAAGGUAACGGCUUACCAAGGCAACGAUGCAUAGCCGACCUGAGAGGGUGAUCGGCGACACUGGAACUGAGACACGGUCCAGACUCCUACGGGAGGCAGCAGUAGGGAAUCUUCCGCAAUGGGCGAAAGCAUGACGGAGCAACGCCGCGUGAGUGAUGAAGGUCUUCGGAUCGUAAAACUCUGUUAUUAGGGAAGAACAUAUGUGUAAGUAACUGUGCACAUAUUGACGGUACCUAAUCAGAAAGCCACGGCUAACUACGUG